AGGAGGUCAAGAAAGUGAGGCAAGUGAAGACCAUGUUGCCUUCACUGAUGCUCACCUCCCAGAGCAAACAGCAGAGAGAACAUCCUUGGUCUCCACAGAAAGAGUCAAGGAUGACUGUGUCUGCUUACACUCU